CAUAUCUGCCGCCCCAUUUGACCUAGACUUUGUGGUACAGAAUCUGAGUCCACCAGCAUGUGCUUCCAACUCCUAGCUCUGCACAAGGUGAAGCAAAUCUUCUGCAAGAGCUUAAGGAAGUUGGUGGUUAAGAAGGUCUACGAGCCCUGCACUCACCACUUCCUUCAGAGUCUUAUCCAGCUGGCCGGUACACCGCAGACAGGACAAGACCAUUCGCCACAAGCACAAAGAGUCUCAGCUUCCCCUGCCCACCAUACCAAACUCCAUUGCCAGUCUACCGAAGCCAGAUAAAGGACAGUGUGGCUGAACAUAAGACCAAUGCAGAACCACCUUAAAAUAUAUAGGGAUAUUUUCUAUCAAACUUCUACAUUUGUCUCCCUUUAUGUACCCACAGAAGAUAUGCAAGUAUGCUGCACAGGGCUCUGUAGCAUCAAACAGAUGUUAGAAAUUCACAUAUAUUCAAAUAAUGUUUAUUCGUCAUUCUAACAUACAGGGGAGUGUAAACUAUUUAAUGUUGAUUCAAAACCAGAACUACAUAUUCAACAAGAAUGUUAUAUGGUAAAAGUAACAUACAAAACAAAUACAGUAUGAACAAUAUAGUACAGUUCAUUGUGUCUCAGGAGUAGUAAAGUGCAGAGAACUAGUGAUCAGCAGACAAUGAGAGAAGUGGUCAUGAUGAGAUUGCCAUUCACAAAGAAACAUACAGUAAGAAAAUAGUGUGAUCCGUGUUUUAAAGUUCAGGGAGUAUAUUGUGUGCAUCUGAGAUGUAAAGUACAGACAUCUGUUGAUCAGCAAAUUAUGGGAGGGGUGUUGUCAUGAUCAAACUGCCAUGCAGCUCCUCUUGAGUCACCUAGGCCUGCUGCUUGUUCCAGCAUAAUGUCCAAUUCAUCAAGAGGGAUACAGUUCUGCUUCAAUGACGCAUGCAGGCAAAGGAAUUAUGUUUCUUUCCAACUAGAAUCCACUGCAGGAAGAACCUCAGGCUCCACAUGGUAUUGGCUCUAAGAGAAAACAUAUACUAAAUUAUACUUGAUUGUACAGUAUGAACUACAGUUGAACUGUGGCAGUAUAACGUCAACAUUAGUGUAGGCUAAUUGAAUAUGCAUACAUGUGCACAGGCACAGAGAUUACAUUUAGAACAAUAUUUAGCCAAAUAUAAAUAUGGCACAAACCUCAAUGUUUUCACAGUGACCAGACUGUACAAAUUUACCUAGGUAGGUAGACAGUAGCUAGCUACAGCCAUGCUUUAGGCAAAUGUUUUUAUAGUAAAACCAACUUAAACUCAGUUUAAGAGAUUUGUUGUUGCAUUUAACUGCGAUUUACAGCCUAGGAACAGUGGGUUAACUGCUUGUUCAGGGGCAGAAUGCCAGAUUUGUACCUUGUCAGCUCAGUGGAUUUGAACUUGCAACCUUCCGGAUACUAGUCAAACGCUCUAUCCACUAGGCUACCCAUCAUGUGGGAUAAGUGGGAGCUCAGGAUGAUGAGUCAGAAACGGAAGCCAGACACUCCACUCGCUGUUUUUUUCUGGUUCAAUGAAAGUCAAUGAACUAAGUAGACCAGACCCAGCUGCUAUUGCAUUGGUGUCUAUGGGAGGCCCACCCCGUUAAGUAGACUGGAACUGACCAUUUUUUUCAAUGGUAAACAGCCUGAGUGAACCAUCUUCAUUUACCCACAAUCUCUGUACGACGUUCCCACUAGUAAUUACCAGUUGGAGAGAAGUUCAAGUAGAUUUGUCCAAGUUGUAUGUUGUAAAUUCCCACUUGGUUAAAGAGAUACUUCGGGAUUUUGAAAUUGGGGCCAUUUAACUACUUCCUCAGAGUCAGAAGAAGUAAUGGAUACCAUUGUUUUGUCUCUGUGUCCAGUAUGAAGGAAGUUUGAUGUAGUUUUGCAAGCCAAUGCUAACUAGAUUUAGCUCAAUGACUGGAAGUAAUAGCGUUAACGCUAGUUAGCAAUUGCGCUAGCACUAGUUAGCAACUUCCUUCAAACUACACACAGUGUCAUAAAAAUGCUGAAGAAGUAUAUAAAGGGCCUCAUUGCCAAAAUCCCAAAGUAUCCCUUUAAUAAGAGCCCAACGUAACUAUUGAUCAAGUAGACUUUGUCUUAUGCAAAAUUCAUGUUAGAUUUCAAUUAUGCAGACAAACAAUGUGAAAUAUUGUGAUUAGUAUAUCUGUAUAAUCACAUAUUGUUGCCCUAUUAGGUGGUCUGAACAUAGUGAAAAGUCAAUAUUUUAUUCUGUAAAAUUAGAAAGCAGCCAGUGCAGUCAGCGUAUAACAGCUGCUAGAGUGUAUCGACGUGUUCUGGAAGGCU